UCAUGAUAACUUUACGAAUCGCAUGGCCUUGUGCCGGCGAUGGUUCAUUCAAAUUUCUGCCCUAUCAACUUUCGAUGGUAGGAUAGUGGCCUACCAUGGUUUCAACGGGUAACGGGGAAUUAGGGUUCUAUUCCGGAGAGGGAGCCUGAGAAACGGCUACCACAUCCAAGGAAGGCAGCAGGCGCGCAAAUUACCCAAUCCCGACACGGGGAGGUAGUGACAAUAAAUACUGAUACAGGGCCCUUUCGGGUCUUGUAAUUGGAAUGAGUACAAUUUAAAUCCAUUAACGAGGAACAAUUGGAGGGCAAGUC
rnacentral:rRNA from 1 species